GUGGUAUCCGCAGAUUGUUCAGGAUGAAAAAUCAGCUACUUGCUUUCUCCUUCAUUGUCAAAAGUUCAUUGAAUUAGUCAGGGUUGGAGCGCUAGAGGAGGCUGUUAAAUAUGGAAGGAAUCAGUUGGGAAAGUUUUAUGGUCUGCCUGGGUUUCAGGAUCUAGUUCAGGACUCUGUUGCUUUGUUGGCAUAUGAACGACCACAAGAGUCCCCUGUUGGUUAUCUUCUCGAG
rnacentral:misc_RNA from 1 species